rnacentral:rRNA from 1 species
GACGUAGGGCGCGAGCGUUGUCCGGAUUUAUUGGGCGUAAAGAGCUCGUAGGCGGCUUGUCGCGUCGACCGUGAAAACCUGGGGCUCAACCCCAAGCCUGCGGUCGAUACGGGCAGGCUAGAGUUCGGUAGGGGAGACUGGAAUUCCUGGUGUAGCGGUGAAAUGCGCAGAUAUCAGGAGGAACACCGGUGGCGAAGGCGGAUCUCUGGGCCAUUACUGACGCUGAGGAGCGAAAGCGUGGGGAGCGAACAGG